rnacentral:rRNA from 1 species
UACGAAGGUCCCAAGCGUUGUUCGGAAUUACUGGGCGUAAAGGGAGCGUAGGCGGCGUGGUAAGUCAGAUGUGAAAUCCCGGGGCUCAACCCCGGAACUGCAUCCGAUACUGCCAUGCUAGAGGAUUGGAGAGGUAGCUGGAAUUCUUGGUGUAGCAGUGAAAUGCGUAGAGAUCAAGAGGAACACUCGUGGCGAAAGCGAGCUACUGGACAAUUCCUGACGCUGAGGCUCGAAGGCUAGGGUAGCGAAAGGG